UACGUAGGGUCCGAGCGUUGUCCGGAAUUAUUGUGCGUAAAGAGCUCGUAGGCGGUUUGUCGCGUCUGCUGUGAAAUCCCGAGGCUCAACCUCGGGCCUGCAGUGGGUACGGGCAGACUGGAGUGCGGUAGGGGAGAAUGGAAUUCCUGGUGUAGCGGUGGAAUGCGCAGAUAUCAGGAGGAACACCGAUGGCGAAGGCAGUUCUCUGGGCCGUAACUGACGCUGAGGAGCGAAAGCGUGGGGAGCGAACAGG
rnacentral:rRNA from 1 species